rnacentral:misc_RNA from 1 species
GGAAGUAAAAGCCGUAACAAGGUCUCCGUAGGUGAACCUGAGGAGGGAUCAUUACAGAGUUCAUGCCCUACCGGGUAGAUCUCCCACCCUAUGUUAUUAUUACUUUGUUGCUUUGGCGGGCCGUUAGGCUCCGGCCCGACUACCGGCCCCGGCUGGUAAGCGCCCGCCAGAGGACCCAAAACCCUGAAUAUUAGUGUCGUCUGAGUACUAUAUAAUAGUUAAAACUUUCAACAACGGAUCUCUUGGUUCUG